UAAGUCUGAAAGGAAAAAAAAAGUGUGUGUGUGGGUGGGGGGAACAGCCCCGGUUGGCCCAUCUUCCCAGUCCUAAUUCCAUUCAGCCCUGGCUUUCUGCUACAUUCCCGUCUGCCUAGUAGCUGAGCCACCCUAGGGCAACAGGUGAGGAGAGAGGAUUCUCCUGUGUCUUCACAUCUUCACUGUCUAGUGAUUGUUUUUCACAACAGUUCUCUCCUGGGAAGCUCUUCAAGAUCCUCACAGGCUCCCUGAGCCAGAGAACCAGGACGCCACCCAGAGUGUUCCCGAGGAGUGUGGAGGGAGCAGGCAGCAGAAGGGCAACAUGGCGACCAAGUAACUCUUCCAUGGCUAAGGGUGGUGAACCUUUAUGCUCUGACAAAUGUGCACCAACGAAAGCACUGAGGGAGUGAGAGCCCCUGGAGCCAGCCAGGUUAACAUUUAAUGAAGUUUGUGGAAUUCAAAAAGCUGCUGCUUUUACGAGCCGUGUGGGAAAGGGAUGCAGGGGUCACGCCUCACCACACCAAGAAAUCCUUCUCUCAGUAAGUUGAAGGCAGUCACAGGUUUCCAUGAUCUUGUGAGAGGAGAAUGCCAUGGGUCAUACUGAACUCAUGUUCCUCAUUCCUGAUUAAGUGUCCUCUAGAAACCUUCUAGCAUGCAUUCCGGUUGAUUACCCCUUACCAAUGUUAUUGUACUCAUCAUGGGUGCAACCAGAAGUUCACAGAGCCAAACCAAUGGGAGCUGUUGGGGAAAUAUAAUUAAAAUCAAAUCUCCUGCCAACCCAGAAAACCUCUCCACAAAGGUAGUAGAGAAAGAAAACAGUUUCCUUUUUUAAAAAAAGGUUUUUUUAAUGUUUAUUUUUUAGAGAGAGAGACAGACAGACAGAAUGUGAGUGGUGGAGGGGGUAGAGAGAGAGGGAGACACAGAAUCUGAAGCAGACUCCAGGCUCUGAACUGUCAGCACAGAGCCCGACGCGGGGCUGGAACUCACGGACUGCAAGACCAUGGCCUGAGGAGAAGUCAGAUGCUUAACCAACUGAGCCACCCGGGCACCCCAAGAAAACAGUUUUCUUACUGAAUAAGCAUUCAACCAGAAUGUGAUGUGCAUCAUAGGCAAUUGGCUAGAGAUUGCAAAGACAAGAAGGAAUCUCACUCUUUUAGACGGCUAGGCAGUCACACAACCUAUUACCGACAUAAUAACCAGUCCUCAAGUUAGAGGACUUAACAGCACCAUUUGUCACUCAAGGUUCAUCCUAGAUUUACCUGGUAAUUGGGGUCACCAUCUGUUAGGUAAUUGGCUUUAACCUAAAGAGAAACAAACUUCUCAGAUCUUUAUGACAGGAGGUGGUUUUGCAACUUGGAGGGAGGCACCUGCCCAGUUAGGCUUCUACCCUCCUACAGAGACUGAGAGAUAGGCCCCGUCUCCCUUGAUGAUGACAUUUCAAAGGGAUUGGUCCCAGAUCAUGCAGAAAGACGUUCCUGAGUCCUAAAGCUGGCAACAGCCUUAGCUUUUUAAAAGGAUUUACAUACAUUUCACAGGGUACCUGGGUGGCUCAGUCAGUUAAGCGUCUGCUCAGGUCAUGAUCUCGUGGGUUCAAACCCCGUGUCGGGCUUUGUGCUGACAGCUCAGAGCCUGGAGCCUGCUUUGGAUUCUGUGUCUCCCUCUCUCUCUCUGCCCCUCCCCUGUUCCCGCUCUCUCUCUCGCUCUCAAAAAUAAAUAAACAUUAAUAAAAAAUUUUGAAAAGGAUUUACAUACAUUUCAAAGAGAUGGAGGAAAGAACUUACAAAUUGUCUGAAGUAAAUGCUCUAAGAAAAGGGAUGCAGGGAGACAUCUCUUAUUUUCAACAGGGACAGUUAAGCUUCCUAUUUUGAAUUUGUAUUUGCCCUCACAGGCAGCAUAGCUUGGCCUCUCUACCUCCUGUUCAUUCAGGGACUCUCCCAUCUUGUGCCAGGCUCUGCAGAAAGAGGCACACGCUCAUCAUUCAUAGCUCAUUCAUAGCUCAUCAUUGCUUUUUGACUUCCAUCUGUCUGAAGGUUGGGCCUGGGGCUUCUGGAAGGGAGUGCCCCACCCCCAUUCUCCACUCACUCUGCCAAGUUGUGUCAUUUUGGUUCUGAGGAAGAUGCAAGUCUUGUGUGAGGGGACCUCACCACCCCACCUGAGGUUGGGGCAGGGACACUUGAAGUGUCGAUGUGUGUUUUAAAUCCUUGAGGACAAGAAGGAAAGACAGGGUCCUGGAUCACCCACAUGCGGGGCAUGGGUGCCUGGUCCACACAGAGGCACACAACUACCCCACCUCAGCAGUAGGAGGCACAUGUUGUAGACCAGUGAGGACGGACCACUGAAAACCACAACGUAGCAGAACCAAGUCAAAACCAAACCCUGCAGCUCACUUGGCAAAGGAUGGAUUCUGACCAAGGGAGGGAGGAGAAAACCCUUCCAAAUCAGUGAGCCAGAAAGGGAGAAACUCAGCCUCACGUUCAGAUGGGUAAGCAGCUCUCCAAACUAGAACAGUUCUCCCUGUACACAGUGUUACAGAAAGAGAAAGACCAGAGUCAUUUUAAUAUAAGAAAAUAGACACCUGCUGUUCUGCAUAUAGAGCUACAUCCGCUGGCACACGUUCCUGCUCCUUCACUCGCUCUUGGGGACUAGUGGGAGGCUGCCGGAUCUGAAAGGUGCGGGGCAAUUGGAACAGGCCAGACACCUCUCAGGUAAGGACAGCACCAUUCAAAACAAAA